AUUCGAUAUUUAUAUUUAAGAUUAGGUAAUUACUUGGCAAAUAUUAGUAUUUCAUUUGUUAAAUUUAAGCCUAUAAUCUUUAGUUGAUUUGAGAGAAGAAUCAGCCACAAAGGGUAUGAGAACAACCCUUCGGUCUCGCAGCAGUGAGGAAUAUUAAACAAUAUGCGAAAGCGUGAUUUAGCGAACUAGUGAUAAUGAUGAAGGUCGUAACGAUUGUAAAGUUUGUGCAUAAACUAAAAUAAUGAUAUUAUGUUUAUAAGAAGCCAUGGCCAAUACAUGUGCCAGCAGCCGCGGUAAUACAUGAGUGGCAAGCGUUAUCCGUAUUUAUUGGGCGUAAAGGAUGUGUAGAUGGUAAAAGUAGUUAUAUUUAACUAAAUCAGAAUAUUGUGUUAAAAUAUAAUACCUUUUUACUUUGAUUUUUAUAUAUGUAUGUUAUAUUUAUAAUCUAGUGAUAAAAUACAGUGAGUUUAUAAGUAUAUCUUAAGGUGAAAACAACAUAUUUUAUAAAAAUGACAUUGAAACAUGAAAGUAGAGGGGUCAAAUAGGAUUAGACACCCUAGUAGUCUUUACUUUAAAUUAUGAGUAUUUGGUCUUUUUAGAUCUUAGUUAACGCGUAGAAUACUCCGCCUGGGCAGUACAGUCGCAAGGUUGAAACUUAACAGAAUUGGCGGGAAUUUUUUCAAACGGUGGAACAUGUGGUUUAAUACGAUAAUCCGCGUAAAAUCUUACCAAAAUGGUUAAUAUUAUUUAUAUACUAUUAAUUUAGUAUAAAUUUAAAUAUUAAUGCAGUAUUGCAUGGCUGUCGUCGGUUCGUGCUGUGAAAUGUAAAAUUAAGUUUUAUAACGAACGCAACUCUUAUAUAUAAUUUUAAUUAAUUUUGUUUAAAUUUAAUAAUUUAUAAAAUUUAAUUUUUUAUAUAAAGAUUUUAUUUUAAUAAAAUGGAGGAAAAGACCGAAGUCAAGUCAUUAUGGUCUAAGUAUUUUGGGCUACACACGUGUUACAAAAGUAAAAACAAAGAGUUGCAAUUGAGUGAUCUUAAGCAAAUCUCUAAAAAUUACUCCAGUUCAGAUUGUUUUCUGAAAUUCGAAAACAUGAAGUCGAAAUCGUUAGUAAUCGUAAAUUAGUACGUUACGGUGAAUGUCAAGUUAAAUUUUGCACACACCGCCCAUCACGCUCUGAAAAUUAGUUUAUUUCGAAAAAUUUUUAAUGCAAAUUAACUUGUACAACGGGUAUAAUUUUUUUAUAAGUUUAUACUAGAAUUUUUAUUUAUUUAAAAAGAUUGU
rnacentral:rRNA from 1 species